CUAUAUAUGAGGCUUUGGUAAAAAAAAAACUGAAAAUUUAUUUCCUCCCACACCUAGCUAGUCCUAUUGCCUACCCCCCAAAAGGGCCAAAAAGUCCUAAACCUCAGGACCUCAUCCCUUUCUUUUGUUGGUUACUUACUUUCUUACUUUUUCCUCACACCAAUGAGGAUUUGCCUCUUUUCCUUUUCCGUUUCAUUUGCAUGCCCCGUCCCUUGUCUCACUUUUGAUCUAUAGUUUACUCCUUUCAAUUCUGUUUCCUUCCUUGCUAAUCUCUUUUGCUAGCUUUAUUCCAACCUUGUUUAAUUACUCAUGGCAAAUCAUUAAAGUUGGGGGUGCAAGAAAAAAUGGGUGGGUGAAUA
rnacentral:lncRNA from 1 species